AAAUAAAAGUCAGCGGGCAGCAGAAGCCAGCUGAAUUGUGUUGCAAAGUAUUUCCAGAUAUGUCCUUAAGUGCUGCAGCCGUGAGUCUCCAUAUGGUUUGUGUCAUUGCCCCAGGACGAAAGAGACAUCCAGGGUUUGGACGGUUUCUGGUGCUGUUCUUCUACGGCCUCCAUCCCAGCUGCCCACAUCAGAAGCAAAGCGAGGCCUUAACCCUUGGCAACUCCUAGCAGCUGAAAGGGCCAUCAGAACUGAUGGAAGGUUGUGCCACGUCUUAUCCCAAUAAAACAGCCAUUAACGGCUUUGUGCUUCAUAUUCUUGUCUACCAUCCACACAUACAGUUACCCAUCCUACAGCAGGUGUUUUAUAAGGAAAGAACAAUGGAGUAUAAAGAGAGGCUGAGUAGGUGUGUGAACCGCAGCUGACUCCACGGAGAGCAUGUGUACUUCAAACAAGUUCUUCAAACGAGCACAGAACGCUGCUUGGUAGUUGCACAUUUAGAGCCAAGCAUGAGAAAUACUCUCCUUUCAAAUUGAAGUUUUUAUAUGCAUGACAGAUAACAUAGGAUUGUUUGGUGCCAUGCUGGAAAAACUGGACCACUUAUUCACUUAACAAAGGGAAUUGGAUUACUUCUGAGAUCUGCAUGUGAACGUAGCACCAGAUAUUAAUGAAUGUCAAGUUGGCCUGGUUUGCUCUAAUAACAGAAAACAGUUGAAGAAAAUAUUUCCCAGUAGAAAUUCAAUAAAAAUGUAUUUUUAUACUGCUUAGU
ensembl:lncRNA